UUGAAGAGUUUGAUCAUGGCUCAGAUUGAACGCUGGCGGCAGGCCUAACACAUGCAAGUCGAACGGUAACAGGAAACAGCUUGCUGUUUCGCUGACGAGUGGCGGACGGGUGAGUAAUGUCUGGGAAACUGCCUGAUGGAGGGGGAUAACUACUGGAAACGGUAGCUAAUACCGCAUAACGUCGCAAGACCAAAGAGGGGGACCUUCGGGCCUCUUGCCAUCGGAUGUGCCCAGAUGGGAUUAGCUAGUAGGUGGGGUAACGGCUCACCUAGGCGACGAUCCCUAGCUGGUCUGAGAGGAUGACCAGCCACACUGGAACUGAGACACGGUCCAGACUCCUACGGGAGGCAGCAGUGGGGAAUAUUGCACAAUGGGCGCAAGCCUGAUGCAGCCAUGCCGCGUGUAUGAAGAAGGCCUUCGGGUUGUAAAGUACUUUCAGCGGGGAGGAAGGGAGUAAAGUUAAUACCUUUGCUCAUUGACGUUACCCGCAGAAGAAGCACCGGCUAACUCCGUGCCAGCAGCCGCGGUAAUACGGAGGGUGCAAGCGUUAAUCGGAAUUACUGGGCGUAAAGCGCACGCAGGCGGUUUGUUAAGUCAGAUGUGAAAUCCCCGGGCUCAACCUGGGAACUGCAUCUGAUACUGGCAAGCUUGAGUCUCGUAGAGGGGGUAGAAUUCCAGGUGUAGCGGUGAAAUGCGUAGAGAUCUGGAGGAAUACCGGUGGCGAAGGCGGCCCCCUGGACGAAGACUGACGCUCAGGUGCGAAAGCGUGGGGAGCAAACAGGAUUAGAUACCCUGGUAGUCCACGCCGUAAACGAUGUCGACUUGGAGGUUGUGCCCUUGAGGCGUGGCUUCCGGAGCUAACGCGUUAAGUCGACCGCCUGGGGAGUACGGCCGCAAGGUUAAAACUCAAAUGAAUUGACGGGGGCCCGCACAAGCGGUGGAGCAUGUGGUUUAAUUCGAUGCAACGCGAAGAACCUUACCUGGUCUUGACAUCCACGGAAGUUUUCAGAGAUGAGAAUGUGCCUUCGGGAACCGUGAGACAGGUGCUGCAUGGCUGUCGUCAGCUCGUGUUGUGAAAUGUUGGGUUAAGUCCCGCAACGAGCGCAACCCUUAUCCUUUGUUGCCAGCGGUCCGGCCGGGAACUCAAAGGAGACUGCCAGUGAUAAACUGGAGGAAGGUGGGGAUGACGUCAAGUCAUCAUGGCCCUUACGACCAGGGCUACACACGUGCUACAAUGGCGCAUACAAAGAGAAGCGACCUCGCGAGAGCAAGCGGACCUCAUAAAGUGCGUCGUAGUCCGGAUUGGAGUCUGCAACUCGACUCCAUGAAGUCGGAAUCGCUAGUAAUCGUGGAUCAGAAUGCCACGGUGAAUACGUUCCCGGGCCUUGUACACACCGCCCGUCACACCAUGGGAGUGGGUUGCAAAAGAAGUAGGUAGCUUAACCUUCGGGAGGGCGCUUACCACUUUGUGAUUCAUGACUGGGGUGAAGUCGUAACAAGGUAACCGUAGGGGAACCUGCGGUUGGAUCACCUCCUU
rnacentral:rRNA from 1 species